CGCGUAGGAAUCUACCUAGUAGUGGGGGACAACAUGUGGAAACGCAUGCUAAUACCGCAUACGCCCUACGGGGGAAAGCGGGGGAUCUUCGGACCUCGUGCUAUUAGAUGAGCCUGCGUAAGAUUAGCUAGUUGGUGAGGUAAUGGCUCACCAAGGCGACGAUCUUUAGCUGGUCUGAGAGGAUGAUCAGCCACACUGGGACUGAGACACGGCCCAGACUCCUACGGGAGGCAGCAGUGGGGAAUAUUGCACAAUGGGGGAAACCCUGAUGCAGCCAUGCCGCGUGUGUGAAGAAGGCUC
rnacentral:rRNA from 1 species